UACGUAGGGUGCAGGCGUUAAUCGGAAUUACUGGGCGUAAAGCGUGCGCAGGCGGUUUCUUAAGUCAGAUGUGAAAGCCCCGGGCUUAACCUGGGAACUGCGUUUGAAACUGGGAGACUUGAGUGUGGCAGAGGGGGGUGGAAUUCCACGUGUAGCAGUGAAAUGCGUAGAUAUGUGGAGGAACACCGAUGGCGAAGGCAGCCCCCUGGGUUAACACUGACACUCAUGCACGAAAGCGUGGGGAGCAAACAGG
rnacentral:rRNA from 1 species